UACGGAGGGUGCAAGCGUUAAUCGGAAUUACUGGGCGUAAAGCGUGCGUAGGCGGCUCUUUAAGUCAGAUGUGAAAUCCCCGGGCUCAACCUGGGAACUGCAUCUGAUACUGGGGAGCUAGAAUGUGGGAGAGGGAAGUGGAAUUUCCGGUGUAGCGGUGAAAUGCAUAGAGAUCGGAAGGAACAUCAGUGGCGAAGGCGACUUCCUGGACCAACAUUGACGCUGAGGCACGAAAGCGUGGGUAGCAAACAGG
rnacentral:rRNA from 1 species